rnacentral:rRNA from 1 species
UACGUAGGGACCGAGCGUUGUCCGGAAUCAUUGGGCGUAAAGAGCGUGUAGGCGGCCACUUAAGUCCUGCGUGAAAUCCUGCGGCUCAACCGCAGGCGGUCGUGGGAAACUGGGUGGCUAGAGUGCGGGAGAGGAGAGUGGAAUUCCUGGUGUAGCGGUGGAAUGCGUAGAUAUCGGGAGGAACACCAGUGGCGAAGGCGGCUUCCUGGACCGGUUCUGACACUGAGGAGCGGAAAAGCGUGGGGGAGCGAUCCGG